GGUGUUCCGAUCACCCUCCAAUAUCCACACUACUCUAGACUUCUGGAGCCAAAAUCUUUCCUCUUUCCUGUACUCUUCCCAUAAUUUAGAUUCUGAACCAAUGCAUAUUGAGAAGCAUCGACUCCCUUCCUUUUUCCCUAUGGCUGAGAGUGUUAUUCCAUCAGAUAGACUUCGUGAAAAUCAAAGAUUAUCAAAAGAGGUUUGGAGAUGCCCUUUGGUCGAUCAUCUUCUAGUCACAAGGAUCCUGACUUCGAAUCUGGAUGAACUGUUCCAAGUGGAGAAACUCCGGCAGGAGUUGUACAAGAUAUUUUAAUGAAAUGUGGAACCAAGGCUUGGUUUGCUGGGGAGAAAGUUGGUGAAAGAAUUGGGAGAAAAAGAAGAGAAGCUCAACGUCAGGCUGCAGAGGAUUUUAUAAAAGGCUGAGCUAAUGCAUAUUUGUCACGUAUUAAGCCUGAUAUUGGGUCUGCACAACGGGACAAUGGUUUUCUUGGUAAUGUGAAUUUGUAUGGGAACCAGCCAUUGUCUAAAGAGGAAUCUGUCAUUUUCAACGGCACUGGAACCAUCUAGGCUUCUUGAUCCGAGGCUGGAAGGCUCCACGAAAUCUAUGGGUUUGGUCACCGUACCUAAAGAAUUAGUAAUGACCGUUUGGUACACGGAAUGCAAGAUUACUUUUGGGAAUGACAUUACUUAAUAUAUUAUUGGGAAUAUUGUAUUAUCUGUUGAAAGAAUAUA